rnacentral:lncRNA from 1 species
UAAAUUUUAAUAACUUUCUUAAACUAUCCUGGGUUGGUACCAAACUUGGACAGAAGCUUGUUUAUGAUCAAAAGCUAGUAUCUAGAAGAAAUUUUGUAAAAAAAUAAAUCUAUUUUUUUGUAUUUUACUUUUAAAAUGACUUAGAUUUGCUGCGAAACAACACAUUCACUCUGUGGUUUAACUUUUUAGAAUUUUAAUAACUUUCUUAUACUAUUUUGGAUUUGUACCCAGCUUGGAAAGAAGCUUGUUUAUGAUCAAAAGCUAGUAUCUAGAAGGAAAUUUUGUUUUCUUCUAGUUAACAUUACAUUCAGUGUGCAGUUAAAUAUUUUAAACAUUUAUUACAUAAACUAUCCUGGAUUUUUACCAAACUUGGACAGAAGCUUCUUACAAUCAAAAGAUAGUAUCAACAGGAAUAUUUUAUUGAUUUGUUUCCUCAUUUUUGUUGAGCUCGCGAUUAACAGAAAGAGUAGGCGAGACACUGGGUUCCGCGGAACCCUUACGAAUUUUUU